rnacentral:rRNA from 1 species
GGAGGUGGCGAGCGUUGUCCGAAGUUACUGGGCGUAAAGCGCGCGUAGGCGGGCUAUUAAGUGAGGGGUGAAAGGCUGAGGCUCAACCUCAUGUUUGUCCUCUCAUACUGGUAGUCUUGAGUGAGGCAGGGAGAAGUGGAAUGGCUGGUGUAGCGGUGAAAUGCGUAGAUAUCAGUCGGAACACCGGUGGCGAAGGCGGCUUCUUGGGCCUUAACUGACGCUGAGGCGCGAAAGCUGGGGGAGCGAACGGGAUUAGAUACCCCGGUAGUCCCAGCCGUAAACGAUGGACACUAGGUGUCGGGGGUAUCGACCCCUCCGGUGCCGUCGCUAACGCAUUAAGUGUCCCGCCUGGGGAGUACGGCCGCAAGGUUGAA